rnacentral:rRNA from 1 species
ACGUAGGAGACAAACGUUAUCCGGAGUUACUGGGCGUAAAGGGCGUGUAGGCGGUUUGUUAAGUCUGGCGUGAAAGCUCUCGGCUAAACCGGGAGAGGUCGUUGGAUACUGGCAAACUAGAGGACGGUAGAGGCGUGUGGAAUUCCGGGUGUAGUGGUGAAAUGCGUAGAGAUCCGGAGGAACACCAGUGGCGAAGGCGACACGCUGGGCCGUACCUGACGCUAAAGCGCGACAGCAUGGGGAGCAAACGGGA